UUAACUCCUUUCACACCCAUGG
rnacentral:miRNA from 1 species